UCAAGGCUCACAGCGAGAGCCUCGCCCUUGC
rnacentral:sRNA from 1 species